ensembl:lincRNA
UGAUGUGGAGUCCUGCUGUUUCUGUUCCAGAUAAAUCAAUGGUACGUGAUGGAGCCCCUGUGGCAAGGCAGGCACGGGCUGGCUUUCAGGGUGCACAGAGAGGAGGCCAGCUUCAGAUGCGGCCUUUUGAGAGCUGGAUGCAGGCGGAGAACAAAGACGCAGAUCUGAAUGUCGCUCCCGUCCCCAAAUGCUGCGUGAUUACUUCUAGCCAAGAGACCUCUGAGGCCGCCUGCUUUGACCUUGUCUUCACUUCUUUGUCACUGUGGUGGCUCCUGACCACGCAUGGCCACGUUGACCCUUACAAAGACUGUCCUUUAACGCGCAUAGCCUCGUCGCUCCUUUAACGGAGAUGUUAAAUUCGGGAGCAGUGUGGCUGUGCGUGUGCAGUUCACCUGCAACGUGGAGGAAACCAGCGCGACGUAAGAGAACGAGUGAGCAACGGAGGGAAGAGGAGACGAGCGGUGGAAGCAGGAGCGCCGUGGACGGGGAGCCUGACUCCCAUUGCUCUGGAAUCUCAGCUGCAUUGGCCUUCACCCUGGCCCAUAAGAGCUGUGUUCUGAACUUGCCGCCAGUGUACAUACUCCCAGUGUCUUGUACACUGGGGACUAAGCCUAGGCCCCUGCCUUCAUGUGCCAGGCAACAGCUUUACCACUGAGCUGCAUACCAUCCCCUUUAUUUUAUUUUAUUUUAUUUUAUUUUAUUUUUUGUCUUUUUGAGACAAGGUCUCGCUAUGCAGUUCAGGCUCUGACCUUGAGCUCACUUUGUAGCCCAGGCUGGCCUCGAAUUCGCAAUGAUCCUCCUGCCUCAGCCUCCUGAGUGCUGGGAUUGCAAGCAUGCACCACCAUGCCUGGCUAAUCCCUUUUAUUUUUAAAAUUUAUUUUCAGACAGAGACUUGCUAAGUUGCCCAGCCUGACCUUGAACUUGUAGCCUCAAUCUCCUGUGUAGCUGGGAUUGCAGGCAUGGACCUCUGUUUCCAGCCAGUGUGCCCUCCUGAAUACCGCUGUAGCAAAGUAAAGAACGACAGGGAGAAAAGCAAAGGCCAUAAGCAAAGGCCACAUGCAGAGAGCAGCUGGGUGUAGCUUUGGGCAGAGGGAGCUGUGAAAUGAGUGCUGGGUGAGUGCAAGUGGUCAGCUGGAGAGGGAGCAGGCUUCUGUUUGGCCAUCAGUAAGAAAUUUCUUUCUUUUUUUUUUUUCAGUACUGGGAAUCGAACUCACAACCUCGAGCUUGCCAGGCAGGCAUUGUGCCGCUGAGCUAUAUCCCCGGCCCAGAAAUUUACUUUUUUUUUUUUGUCUUUUUUGAGACAGGGUCUCCUUAUGCAGUUCAGGCUAGGCUUCAGCUCACUUUGUAGCCCAGGGUGGUCUUGAACUUGCAACAAUCCUCUUGCCUCAGUCUCCUGAGUGCUGGGAUUACAGGUUAAAAGCCACCACACCUGGCAAAUUUACUUCUUUUUAAAAAUCCAAGUGCUGGCAUGUCUAGAAAAAGUUACCAGGUUUAUUUAUAAUGCUGUAAAGCGGCACUGUUGAAACUUGUUCACUACCACGUUUUCACUUGAAUUAAUGCUUCACAUCCUGUUUGUAUUAAAAAUUCACACACAGAUGAAAAUGGAAAAACUGCCAAUACUUGAUUGCUGCUAGACAAUCAUCUACUUAGGUACAUUUUGACUCCAUGGAGAGAAAAAUUUUGACAUUCAGAACUGCCAAUACUAGGAAGAAGAGCAAAAACAUUUUUUUAGAAUAAAAUGUUUCUCAUUGUACUGGUUUUAUUUUAUUUUCUGAUUCAGGCUCUCACUUUGUAGUUCAAUCUGGUCUUAAACUCACUAUGUACCCCAGCUAGCCUCCAACUCAUGGUGAUCUUCCUGCCUCAGCUUCCUGAGUGCUGGGAUUACAGGUGUGUGCCCCAAGUCCAUCUUAUCAUAGUGGAUUCUUUUGCCAAGCAGUUCAGGCUGGCCUUGAACUCAUGGCGAUCCUCUUGCCUCAGCCUCCCAAGUGCUGGGAUUAAAGUCGUGUGCAAUCACACCAGGAUGUCAUACUGGAUUCUUAAGCAUGCUCUCCGUGUAUGUGCCAUACUAGUUGGAUAUCUUUUUGGCAUAAUUGUUAUGUGUUUGGUAUGAAUAGCACACAGGUUUUAUCUUCAAAACGUGCAACCAAAUAGGCUUCACUUGUUAUUCACAAAGCACCAGGAGCUACA